GACGAACGCUGGCGGCAGGCUUAACACAUGCAAGUCGAACGCCCCGCAAGGGGAGUGGCAGACGGGUGAGUAACGCGUGGGAACGUGCCUUUUGGUUCGGAACAACUGAGGGAAACUUCAGCUAAUGCCGGAUAAGCCCCGAGGGGGAAAGAUUUAUCGCCAAAAGAUCGGCCCGCGUCAGAUUAGGUAGUUGGUGGGGUAAUGGCCUACCAAGCCGAUGAUCUGUAGCUGGUCUGAGAGGAUGAUCAGCCACACUGGGACUGAGACACGGCCCAGACUCCUACGGGAGGCAGCAGUGGGGAAUAUUGGACAAUAGGGGAAACCUUGAUCCAGCCAUGCCGCGUGGAUGAAGAAGGCCCUAGGGUUGUAAAGUCCUUUCGCCGCUGAAGAUAAUGACGGUAAGCGGAGAAGAAGCCCCGGCUAAUUUCGUGCCAGCCGCCGCCGUAACAC
rnacentral:rRNA from 1 species